CAGAUCUGGUCCUUUUACUCACUGCAAACCGGUACAGAUCUAAACCCCUAUGUGGUUUAGGGCUUUUGCAUUCUAUUCCCUUCCCUUCCCUCUCUUUCUCCCUCCUAGGUUUAGGGCUUUUGGAUGAGAUUCGACAUAUGUUCUUCAGUGAUGGAGGCGAUUAUUAAGAUGUGGUGGGGUUGAAUUCGUAACUUGCAUUUCCUCUUCUUGUGAACUAAUUUGGUGAGACUUCUUUCCCCUUAUCAUUUUCAUUUCACUGAUGAUAGUUACAUGAAGUUAAUGUAAUCAUAUGAAAGCUUUGUAACUGAUCAAGAAAGUAAAAAAAUAAUAUGAAUUUCUAUUUUUAUUUCACUAAAGCAUUUCAUUAUUUUUAUAUGAAAAUCUGCAUGCUAAUUGUUUGAGGAAAUGCCUCAACCAAGAAUGUUCUUGUGUUAAUCAUGCUAGAGGUCCUGCAUUUCAACUCUCUGUAAAUGGGGCACAAAUCAUUGUAUGGUUGGAUGAACCCAUUGUAUCAUCCAUCUACUUGACCCUUCUUUGGCGGACCAACACAUAAAUUCACAAUGACUGGGGAAUUUUCCCCUGUUGACCAUUUUUGUUUUCAGUCAUCUGUUCGAUCAAAUGGCCAGGACGAUUAUGUCAGUUUGACUUUUGAACUAUGGUCAAAAGUCAGACUGAGGGCUAUAUAAUGGGCUAUAUAAUUUGAUUGGUCUAUUUUCACAUGAAUGUGUGCUAUGUGUAUGGUGGAUGAGACAACAUAAAGUGAAGAGUGCUGGUGAAUGGCCUGGAUCUCCAACUGAGGUUCCCAGAGCAGAUUCAGGUUCGGUAUCCAUCUCUUUGUCAACUGAAUGUGUCUCAUCUAAUGUUCUGGUACUUGUGUCUCAAUUCUGCUCUUUAACUCAUCUUAGCCAUCAGUUAGCACCACUAAUACAACUCCUUCUUCUGGCAAUGGAGCUUUGGAUCCUAUGGAUAUGUCUCCUUAUUCUACUAACCACUUAGAUGGCAUACAUGAUGACAACACUUACACAAGAUUUGCAAAUCAACAAAACCUGGAAGAAGGGCAUCACUAGAAGCCAUAAAGAUGUGGAAAGAAAAUGGUUUUACUAGCUGCAGUAAUCAGGAUGGAAGACGGAACGUCUUCUAUCGUCUUCGAUUGUUUGGAGGGAACAUUGGAUUCAUGGUCCUUCAAAUGAAAAGAUCAACUAGAGUACCUAUGCUAUGCUUGGAUGUACACAAGGAUGGUUUUGUGCUUCUCUUUUUCAUCCUUCUUCAA